rnacentral:tRNA from 1 species
GACGGUAUAGCUCAAUGGUAGAGCAUGUGCCUAGCAUGCAUGAGGUCCUGGGUUCAAUCCCCACUACCUCCA